ensembl:lncRNA
GGUCAGAGUGGGAAGGAUGAGGUCAGCAGAGGGAAGGAUGAGGUCAGCAGAGGGAAGGAUGAGGACAGCGGAGGGAAGGAUGAGGACAGCGGAGGGAAGGAUGUGGUCAGAGUGGGAAGGAUGAGGUCAGAGUGGGAUGGAUGUGGUCAGCGGAGGGAAGGAUGUGGUCAGAGGAGGGAAGGAUGUGGUCAGCGGAGGGAAGGAUGUGGUCAGCGGAGGGAAGGAUGUGGUCAGCGGAGGGAAGGAUGUGGUCAGAGUGGGAAGGAUGUGGUCAGCAGAGGGAAGGAUGUGGUCAGCGGAGGGAAGUAUGAGGUCAGCAGAGGGAAGGAUGAGGUCAGCAGAGGGAAGGAUGUGGUCAGCGGAGGGAAGGAUGAGGUCAAAGGGAGAGGCGGGAGCAGUAGGAUGUCUCGUCUCGUCGUCUCCCCAUCCACGCCGUCUGUGGCUUCGUAUGACUCAGUCAGAUGACGUUAGAGUUCCGUACAAGUAGCUAGCUAACGACACAGCUUCUUGUGGUGACGAGAAGAAAGAACCUGAGGUCGUGUAGUUACAUAAACAGUACUUACUGGUUAAUCCAUACUACAGGGUGGACAAAUGUAGACACUGAAUUAUUGAUUUAAAGGCCCGAAGCUUUCCAUUAGAUCUGAUAGUUAGAUCGUCUAUAGAAGAGAAAGAACCACACAUUGCAGAAGAGAGAAACAAAUGGCAAGACAGUCUAUGUGAAGAUAAAGCAGAGGUAGAGGUCGAGAGAGGUGUUCCUCCAUCCAUUGUUUCACUCCUUUUCCUCCACUCCUCGAGGCCAAACCAGCCCUCUACUCCAUUAGGCUCUGGGGUCAAUGUAUGGAAAUGUAUGACAGUAUCCAUCCAUCACAUCAGUGACAGGGGUGAGUCUCCACUCUAUUAUCCCCCAUCUGGAGUGUGUGAAGAUGGGCUAAGAUAACACCUUAGCCCCAGGCUUCGGCCCUCUGCACAUUAAUCAAGUGUAAACAGCCUGGCUGGUGGUACAUUAUCUGAUAGUUAGACCCC